CAAGUAUUUUUGUACGCUUAUACUAGGUGCUCUUACACCAUGAAAUGCGUUUAAGCUCUUCCCAAGCCUAGUCAAGCCAGAGCUCAUCCCAUUCAUCUGAUGGUUCAAGCCAUCCACAAGUCGAUCAUUUCGAGCCACUAGCUUCUCUAUCACAGUAGAUAAUAUGGUUAAGACUCGUUUGCUCAGACUGACUCAGCUCUGGCUGCCUGAUGCUGUUGGCAGUGAGCUCCCCGGUGGCUAACAUUUAGAAGUCAUUUACAGUAUGUUAAGGGAGAGCUUUUGAG
rnacentral:misc_RNA from 1 species